GACGAACGCUGGCGGCGUGCUUAACACAUGCAAGUCGAACGAUGAAGCGGUGCUUGCACCGUGGAUUAGUGGCGAACGGGUGAGUAAUACGUGAGUGACCUACCUUUGACUCUGGGAUAAGCCUGGGAAACUGGGUCUAAUACCGGAUACGACCAAUCUCUGCAUGGGGUGUUGGUGGAAAGCGUUAUGGAGUGGUUUUAGAUGGGCUCACGGCCUAUCAGCUUGUUGGUGAGGUAAUGGCUUACCAAGGCGACGACGGGUAGCCGGCCUGAGAGGGUGACCGGCCACACUGGGACUGGGACACGGCCCAGACUCCUACGGGAGGCAGCGGUGGGGAAUAUUGCACAAUGGGCGCAAGCCUGAUGCAGCGACGCCGCGUGAGGGAUGACGGCCUUCGGGUUGUAACCUCUGUUAGCAUCGAAGAAGCGAAAGUGACGGUAGGUGCAGAGAAAGCGCCGGCUAACUACGUG
rnacentral:rRNA from 1 species